GUGGGUACCGGCCUCAGAGUUUUGCCGGCCGCCGCCGGGCUCCCAGGCGCGGGGAGUCCUGUUGCCGUGAGCUGGGCCGGCGCAGCCGACAGCGCGCGGGGAAGCUGCUGCUGGGCAAAGGAGCGGCGGCGGCGGCUCUGCUUCCUAUAUGGGCCACUUUCUCUCGCGGAAGGGAAGCAUCCAGAAAGCGGAGAAGAGCCGCCCCCGCAGUCGCCCCCUGAGGGGGAAGGUGCCGCCGCCGCCGCGGAACCGGAGCUGCUUCCUGCGCGGACCCUGCAUGCUCUGCUUCCUGAUCCACAGCGCUAGCCCGCCUGCAGCGGACGAGCAGCCUCCCGCUCCCCGGGACUCCGCGCCACCGCUCCUGUACGCGGCUCUGCAAGCCCCCGAAGAGCGCGCCGCUCGCCGCCUGCUGCGCUUAUCGCCCGUGGCCGCUUGGGAAGAGCGGGGUCGCCACUGCCGCCGCCUGCUCCUCUCUGGCCUGCUGUUCUCGCCGCCGCCUUCAGCGCGCCGGGGCUGCUUCGGGCCUGCGCUGGAGAGCGGCGAGGCUCCGCCGGAGAUGGUGUGCAAGCGUAAAGGAGUCGGGCUGCCCGCCUGCCCGCCCCGCAAGCUGCCCCGCUGCGCCACCAUCACAGGGACUGUGGCGGUGGCCGGGAGUCCUUCGCCCCCGCCCGAGGCCACCGCUUGCCCACCGGGCCCCCUACCCGAGCAACACCUCUGCCCCUUGCCCUGCGCCUCGGACCGUGCCAGAGGAGGCUCGCCGAGAGACCCCUCUGAAGAGAACGGAGACAGGACGGGAUUGACCCCGGCAGGAUCCCCAUCGCAGCUGCCGGAGCUCGGCGGGAGGGAGAAGCAUGAGCCCUGCGAACCGGACUGCGAGGAACCACCGGAGAACCCAGGUGACUGCUGUCGGGAGCUGCAGCCACCCUCACCAGACAUCAACCAGCUACCGCCCUCUAUUCUUCUUAAGAUAUUUUCCAACUUAUCUUUGAAUGAGCGAUGUCUUUCAGCAUCAUUGGUUUGUAAAUAUUGGCGUGACCUCUGUUUAGAUUUCCAGUUCUGGAAGCAAUUGGAUCUCAGUAGUCGUCAGCAGGUCACUGAUGAGUUACUGGAAAGAAUUGCAUCAAGAAGCCAGAAUAUAACUGAAAUCAAUAUUUCAGAUUGCCGUAAUGUAUCAGAUACAGGAGUAUGUGUGUUAGCAUCUAAAUGUCCAGGACUUCUAAGGUAUACAGCCUACAGAUGUAAACAACUGUCUGACGCAUCUAUAAUUGCAAUGGCCUCGCAAUGCCCUCAGCUGCAGAAAGUACAUGUGGGCAACCAAGAUCGGCUCACUGAUGAAGGACUCAAACAACUGGGCUCAGAGUGCAGAGAACUGAAAGAUAUUCAUUUUGGACAAUGUUACAAGAUCUCAGAUGAAGGAAUGAUCAUUAUAGCUAAAGGAUGCCUGAAGUUACAGAGAAUAUACAUGCAGGAAAACAAAUUAGUGACAGAUCAGUCUGUUAAAGCAUUUGCUGAACACUGUCCUGAGUUGCAGUAUGUUGGGUUUAUGGGCUGUUCUGUUACAUCUAAAGGAGUCAUACACCUUACCAAUCUAAGGAACCUUUCCAGCUUGGAUCUACGUCAUAUCACAGAACUGGAUAAUGAAACAGUGAUGGAGAUAGUAAAGAGAUGCAAAAACCUUACCUCCCUCAAUCUGUGUCUGAACUGGAUUAUAAAUGACAGAUGUGUGGAGGUCAUUGCUAAAGAAGGACGGAACUUGAAAGAACUAUACUUGGUGUCAUGUAAAAUCACAGACUAUGCACUGAUAGCCAUUGGACGAUAUAGUAUGACAAUAGAGACUGUGGAUGUAGGAUGGUGCAAAGAAAUCACAGAUCAAGGAGCCACCCAAAUUGCUCAAAGUAGUAAAUCACUCAGAUACUUGGGUCUAAUGAGAUGUGAUAAGGUAAGAAACAUUUGUAUGCAGACUCUGUAACACAUGUCCUAGUGACUUACCCAUUUAUUCCUCAUGUUGCAUCCACAUUGUUAGCUAUUAAGGACAAUAGCAAAUGCAUACAGUGGCCCAACUUCUCUAUGAUGCCAACUUGUUUGUUCAUUUUUAACAGGAGGCAUCUUUUCAUAAUUUCUGCCUUUAUUUGUUCAUGACAUUGCUAUAGCUGCCUUAUUUUAAAACAUAAAGUACAGUAAUUGUAAAAAGGUUGCAGUGUCAUCUGUAAAGGAAAUAAUUUUCAGCACACUUUCUUGAUCACAAAUCUUCAUUGUAAAAAUACAUGGACCAAGAAACCUAGUAUAGUUCACUCAGAGGAGAAAUACUUUAUCCCUAAUGCCUUUAUUAUUUAAUUUUCCAUGUAUUACUUUGCCCAUUCAAAAGCACCUUAAGAAACUCUUGCUUUCUAAAUUCUUUGUUUACACUAACAAAUUGUAAAGAUAAAGUUAUUCUGAAAAAUUCAGAUUCUGAGCUGAAAAACCACUGAUUUGGCAACUGACAGAAUGUAAUAAAUUCAGCUUGAGAGUGUUUUAAGAGCCAAGAGAAGAAAAGUGUGUGAAAAUCUCUUUUGAUAAAUUGAGCUAAGAUUAUCUACUUAGACUGUUCAAAGAGUUACUUGACCCUGGAAUUUAGAUUAGAACCUGAAUCACCUGAUCAAUUCUACAUAUAUUUCUUUUGUGGGUUCAGUUAAAAUUGCUUGUACAAUCAACAAAUAUAUAUAUUUAGAAGCAAUAUGUUUGUCUUGUCUUGAGCUGUUAAAGACAAUCAGUGACCUUGAUGUUGAAAACAGAGUUGAGUGCAAUAUCAGUUAAACCAUGCAUACUGUAUAGUCUGUAUUCCUUUAAUUGCUGGCUUAUGCUUCCCGACUUCUUACAAAGGGACUACAUGCUGUGUAGGGAGACAACUGAGCUAGCAAGAAUAAAAAUCUGUGAGACGGCUGCACAGCAAAUGGGGAAAACUGUUCCUGAUUAAUGGGGAAAAUAUAUUGGGUAUCUUGAUGAGAAUGCUGUAAAGUGUGGCAUUAGGGGUACCACUGGGGGUCAUUUAGCUUGCUUGUUAAACCUCUGUGUGCAGGGGAAUGAGGAAAGUAGACAUAAAAAGAACAAAUUUUCAGGAGCUCUGUCCUGAAUUUAAAAUCUUUAAAAUGCAAUGUUGGCAGCUCUAAGAGCUCCAUCUUUCUUCCACAUCUAGAGAAUAAAGAACUCAUGAUACAAACCACUUGUUUCAGUUUUCUAACUUUACGCAAAACUAAUUUCUUUUCCAAUUGUUAGGGUCCAAAAUGUCAUUCAUGAAAAGUCUUGGCAAGUAGAGAAGGAUUUUCAAAUGCCACUGUAACAGAAAAUGUCUUUGCAUACAGUUGGGUAGGGCCCAAUUCCCCACCCCCAAGCAUUUUCCAAAAAUGCUGUAUGAUGUUUCCAUGCCAAGUUGCCAUUCCAUGUUAUACGGUAUCGACAGACAUACAAGUAAGUAGCUCAUAAAAACAAAGAAAUAUAGAAACAUAUAGAAAUAGAUUUCAGCCGUUUCCACCAAAAUAUUCAUUAUAUCAUCUCCUUGGAAUUUCUUUGAUAUGUACUUGACAUAAAUUUAGAAUUACAAUGGCAUUGGGGGCCUUGCCAGAAAAGAUCAGAGAAACUACAGGACUGGGUGAAGGCAGGCUCUGUUUGAUUUCAUCGAUUAUAUAACUGCCUCUAGGCAAUAGAUGUCACUAGUGGCUGUGCUAUUGAUCCACAUGAUGAAAAUAAUCAAAUUAAUUCAUUUCUCAUAAAGUUGCUAUUGCUGUGGUCCUUUUUAUAUCCAUGUAUGGUGCAGAAGCAAGACAUUCACUACUUUAAGGGAUAAACUAGUUUAAUAAUGGCACUAUUAUUCCCUCAUAAUGUUUUGUGUGUUUUAUGUUUUGUUCAAGCUGUUUAAAUCCAAUAGUUUCCAUCUAAAUGUUGUUAUCUGUUAACGUGGGAAUCAUUUCAAAGAUUCCUGACAUAAGAUAUGUACCUGCAGAUUUUGCUUGACAUUUAAGCACAUGACAGGAGCAUCAGUUACUACUGCUACUGGGAAGAGCCAGGAGCUACACACGGUUGCCUGGCUGAAGAGGUGCCUUGCUUCUGGGAUAAAGCUUCUCAUUCAACUGGUUGCAAGGGAGCACAUGUUUGGGGUGGGGGUUGGAGGAUGCUGUUUCCUUCCAUAGCCAUUGCAGAUCUUUCAAAAGGCAGCUGGAACAGAAAUAACAGUAGUAUCACCUCAGAACUAAGCAAAGCAACAUUGUUUUAUGUCAUUGUUCCCCACAGUCUUCAUCACUCACCGCUGUCUUUCUUUCCCACCCCAAAUUUUACAGUGUUUACUACAUGUCAAUUUUAACAUAUUUUCCACUAUCUUGAGCAACUGUUCUCAAGCAAAAAGCCAAAAUGUGCAUUUUUAAAAUUAACAAAUACAUAAUUUAACCAAAGAAGCUGAAUAGUUAAACAUCUAUUGUUAAAAUAGUCAUUAAAAUAAAUAUUCAAGCAAAAUAAGUUAAUUUAUGAACCUUAGUGCCAACAACAACUGGCACAUAUGACAGACUUAUACAUAGAAACAGAGCAAUGCAGAAGGGACCUCCUGGGCUAUCUAGUCUGACCCCCAGCUCCAGCCAGCUUCGCUCAAGACAUGCCCACCAUGUGCAUGUCCAGCCUAUCUUUGAACACCCUCACCAAUGGGGCCUCAACCACCUCCCAUGGAAGCCCAUUCCAUACUUCAGUGCACAUAAAGGAUUCAUGAAUAUGCAUGCUUGUAAUGGAGGGUGGAGCUAGGUCCAGGUUGGGAGGGGACCUGGGCAAAGUGCUCAGUGGGCCCCAGCCUCUGUCAGUGGACACUAAUGAGCUCGUAGUGGUGGGAUGAGGCAGUGGUGCUCCAAGCAGCACCAAGCAGCUGGAUCUAGACAAUAUUGUAAUUUCCUAAAAUGCAUCCAUGAUAUGAGGCUAGAUUCAACAGCCUGGGGUUGCUCAGAAUGCCAGACCAGGAAAAAAAUACAGGGAAAAGGGGCUCCCUGCUUGGGCUCCUGCAGCACUCCAAAACUUUCUCAUAACAAUGCUUCUGAUGAAAGACAUGUAGAGUUAGGGUUACCCUUUGGAGUUACCCUUUGCCAUGUAGGUGAAAGUGAAAGAAGCAGGCUUUGUAAACUUAAUAACCUAUAUAUACAUUGCCCCACAGCAAAUUGAAAGUUUGGAGUGACAGCCAUUAAAAGAAUAACUUCAGGAAUUGUUGAGAGUCAGUGUAGUGCAGUGGUUAGAGUAUCAAAUUGGGGAUCUGGGAGAACUGGGUUUUACUCCCUGCUCAGCCAUGGAGGUCACUUCAGGCCAGUCACAGGAUCUCAACCUAACCUACUUCACAAGACUGUCAUCAGGAUGGAGAGGAGGAAACCCUUGUAAGACACCUUUGUUUCCUCACAAGAACAAGAAAGGUGAAUGAAGUGACUGUGGAGCAACUAGUACAACAGCACCCGC